UGAGACCCAAUUUGGCUCAAUCUGAACGCAACCCAAAACAAAUGUAAUAAACUAGGAAAGGACAAAAACAAAAGGAAAAAUCUUUGGAUGAAAUAGGAAAGUGGAAGGUGAGGAGUUCAGCAACUUCAUCUCCCUCUCAGUAUUUUAUUAAUCGUCCAAAAAAGUGCAAGAUUCACAGAGUUAAUCUCCUAAAGAUGUUAACCACUUCAAUUCACCAUGAACCUCUUAUCGGCACAAAAAAGAAAGCUGCUAUGAAACCCAUGUAACCUCGAUGAGUAUCAAUCCGAAUUAUAUUUGGAUUCUUGGAUUGAAACUAGAGCUUCUGUUUGAUCUAUCCCUUACAAGACAUCAACGUCUUAUCAAGGUGCUGAUAGAGGUAGCUAUUUCUCCUCUGGUGCCUUUGUAUAAGCUGAUUCGAUGGUCUUCCCACAUAAAGUAUCCAGCCCUGCUUGAAGACAUUUGACAUACUACUUUUACUAUUACCUAAUGUGAAGUUUCAUUACAUCAAGCAUUAGUAUUCUCCCGUCUGUCUCAUAAUCAACAGGGCAUAGUGAUUCGUCGUGCCCAUCAAUCUCAUCACCGUCCUGGUCUUGUACUCAUGUGCCAUGGCCAGAGUAGUGGAACACUAAUGAAUCUCCUGGCUGACAACCAUGAACAAGCCACAACGUAAGGCCGAUCUGAUAUUGGCCUUGAUUGGGUAUUUAUAUUUCCACAGAGGCCGCAUUAUUCAGUUGAAUCCCGAGACGGUGAACAGCGACUUCAGCAACCGCCAAUCCCAGAGAACAGUGAUAACACGUUCAUGAAAACAUGUCUUUCAACAACGAUAAAUGUUAUGCCACUGUGUC